rnacentral:piRNA from 1 species
UAAAAUGCCACUUGCAGGCAAGAGAGGAUC